AGAAGUAUACCCCACCAUUUAGUCACCUGAUACUGCCGGAGAAGUAUACCCCACCAAUCUGAUACUACCGGAGAAGUAUACCCCACAUCACCUGAUACUGCUGGAGAAGUAUACCCCACCAUUCAGUCACCUGAUACUGCCAGAGAAGUAUACCCCACCAUUCAGUCACCUGAUACUGCCGGAGAAGUAUACCCCACCAUUCAGUCACCUGAUACUGCCGGAGAAGUAUACCCCACCAAUCUGAUACUACCGGAGAAGUAUACCCCACAUCACCUGAUACUGCUGGAGAAGUAUACCCCACCAUUCAGUCACCUGAUACUGCCAGAGAAGUAUACCCCACCAUUCAGUCACCUGAUACUGCCGGAGAAGUAUACCCCACAUCACCUGAUAGUGCCGGAGAAGUAUACCCCACAUCACCCGAUAUUGCCGGAGAAGUAUACCCCACUAACAGAGUUGUUACAUCUGGACUUUUAGCAAUCCCAACUUUGAAUUCCUGUGCAGUGAAAAUUUUCCAUUCUUCAACCCAGUACAAACACAAGCUAUGAGUGACAGCAUUGGUAGGCCAGUGUGGAUAAGUAAUUUCCUGUCAACAUUCAUCCAAUUGUUAACUCAAAUUUGAAAAAAAAAAGAAAUGGAGAGAAGGGCUUGGAAAUGGAGAGAAGGGCUGGUGAUGUUGCCCAACAGCCUGCUGCAGGUGCAGCAAAGGAUGCUUUUAGCAAAGAGAUGUAGGAUGUGGCGCAAGUAGAAACUGACAAGGCAGCGAAGCAUUCUUGUGUAGAUGAUGACAAUGACUGUAUCUCUACAAAAUGAGGAAAAAAGGUCAACACAGUCAUCAUCAACACUCUGUCAACAGAACUGCUGUCAGAACAAGGAAAAAACAGUUUCCAUGCCAAACUAGAACUGGAAUGUCAUGUGCAGUAGACACAGCUUGGCACAAAAGGAGAUUUAACAGUUUAACAUGUAAACUCUAAUUCUGUAGUGUUAUCCAGCCUAUUCAGCUCAAUGGGUGAGAGUAUAUUUAUCUAGGAGUUUGUCACGAGGAUACAGUUGAUGUUGAGAAGCUGCCAGAUCCUGUUUCAAGAGGGGAGUUCAAGCCUGUAACCCUGGUUCCUGGAGAGCCAACAUACAUUACAUUUGAUCUGGAAACUGCCAAACCUCAUUUGAGGCGGACAGUUUCCUCAUCUCACACUGAUAGCUGCUGCAGAGCUGAACAGCCGGACAGUUUCCUCAUAUCACACUGAUAGCUGCUGCAGAGCUGAACAGUGGACAUUCCUUCAAUACAUACGUUUUACCUAAAACACUGAUCACCUCAACAGCCCAACAUGUUACUGGAAUUGUAAUGUCAGGUAGUAACUCUGUCAGUAAAUGGAAUGCCAGUGGAAGCAGAAUUUAUAACUCCCAUCACUGGAAAAGUUUUGUAAAUGGCUAGAACAAUUUGACAAUGUCAUUCUGGUGGCCCGCAGUGGCAGAAGAUUUGACUUUCCAGUUCUGAUGAAAGCAGUAGCUUGUUGUAAAAUUCUUGAGAGCUUUUUUAAAUGAGUGUCUGGAUCUGUUGAUUCUCUAACAGUUUUACGCAAACUUUUUCCUAGCAGUUUCUCGUACAAACAAGAUCUUGUCCUGGAAUUUUGAGUGAAAGUUAUGGAGAGUGAAAGCUAUGGAGCACAGAAUGCCAAGGAGGAUGUUAAAGCAUUAGGAAAUCUUUGAAAACACUUGUCAAUAUUGCCUAAAACAAUGCUUUCAUUUAAUUAUUCUCCAAAAUCUGUACAACAAAUAUUCAGGCCUCAACCUAAAUCAUUUGAAAAUAAUUGUCAGGCACAAGGGAGAAGAUGGGCAUGUACAUUGUUGAUAUAGUGAAGGACAAGCAUGUGUUACAAACAUGAAGAGGACAUUAGAGACAGUUAUUCCAAACCUUGUGGAGUACUUAAAAAUGAUUUUAUCUUACCUCAUUGCUUAUGCUCCAUAUUUUAAUUUUAAAAGAGUAAGAAAUGUUCAAAAAUGAUGUGUCUUGAUCUGUAUGUCAAGUUUUAUGCUUUGAUUAGGUUAUCUUUUUUGAACUCGUAGAACAUAUUAUUAUAUGUAUAUGAACAUUUUACUUUUUCAAUGAGAUGUGGAACCAAAAUUUGUAGUCCUGUUUGGCGCCAUAUAACCUAUACCCAAAUAAAUGAAUAAAAUAAUCAAAAGGAUUAUUACUACUACAUUGUAUAUUUAUUUUAAUGUACAAGUGUUACAUGCAUUUUUCAUUAAUGAAAGUAAAAAAAAUGGGAGUUCUUUGUUUUAAAAUCCUAUGAAUUUAGGUUUUACAGUAUAAAGCUUUUGUUUACAUUUUACCCCUACUCUAAAACAAGAUACUUUUAGAAAAUCAGAUGGUAAAAAGUAGAUAAUUCUUUGUGUAUUUGUUUCAUACAAUGAUACAAAUAAUUUGUAUUUAGUUACUAAAAAUGUAACAUUUAUAACCUUUAGAAAGAAAAAAAAAUGUUGAGACCAGAAUUUUUUCCUUAAAAUUGUUAAAUUUACCACUGGGGAUAUAGGAGAUAAGUAUUUCAAGUAAAUUCUUGUACAAAUGUAUGUAAUAAGUCUUCAUAUAUUUUUUUUCUUUUAUUUAUUUAACGUUGUUUUAGUAGUGAACUAACACUGAAACUGUUGUAUUUUGAUGAAUUUGAAAAAAAUAUAUAUAUAGAAUUUUGCGUAGUUUAUUUCAUUUUCCAGUCAAAUCGGCUGUCGAGUAACUGUUGUGCUGUUUAUGAUUUUAUAACUUUUUUUGAAUGGUUAAAAUCAUUUAAAAUUUUAGAAAUAAUUCACCCAAGUGAUACUGAUAAUAAAAAAUAAAAAGCUUGGUCAGAUUUGAAAUGUGACCAUUUAGGGCCCUAAAUCCUUCAUUAACUCAUUUUAGAUGUGUCUGUACACGAUGCUGCAUGGCACCUAUGUUACUGUUGCAAACAGUGUCCUCCAACCUGCCCUUCCAUGUUUCUAGCUAUUUGUGAACAAGUGACAAAAUGAGUGUUUGUAAACUGUCCAGUCAGUUUUCUGAAAACUUUAAAUUACAUUUCUUGUUUUUAUUUGCUACAGUACAUUUUAUAGCUUUAAAUUGUGCAAACUAUAGCAAAAAAUGAUUUUGGGCAACUUUCAAGUAAAACAACAUUUAAAACAAAUAUUGCAUGUGUCGAGAGUAUAAACAUAAUUAAAAACUCUGUGAUAUUUGUCAGAAAUAACUGUUGAAGUGUCCUAAAUUUUUUUUUCUGUUUGUAAUCAGCACAACAUGAAAGCUCUUUACUAGUGAUCUCUUCGUAACUAAGUUCUCUUACGUACAUUGUUUAAUAUGAGCUUUCCAAGUUCUAGCUGCCAGGUCUUGAAAUUUUGAAAUCAAGUUAUUUCAGUAAUAAUAUACUUGUCCAUCUUUCAAUAUGGACAGUAAGUAUUGUAAAUGGUUUAUUUCCAGAUGCUCUCAAAGAGGCUUAUGUUCUCCCAAUAUCUAUUUUGCCUAAAAUUUCCAUUUCUUCUUGAAGGUGGAUAAUCAGAUUUUGGCCAUGUAACGGAUUUGUUCGAAACUUUAGCAUCUGAUCAUUUACACUCAUUUAUGUUCACUUAACACUUAAUACAAAUUAGAUUUUCACUGGAGGUAUUUUUAAAAUUUCAUUUUCCUAUCCUGGUUGCCCAACCAAGAUAGUUAUUUUAUCAUAAGUAUAAAUUUGAUAAACAUACUUUGCCUAAGGAAAUGUAUAAAUAUUAGACAUACUGUAAUAUAUUUGUAAAAUAUUUGCAUUAAAAAUUAUGUAUUUAGAUGGAAUUCAUUAGAAACGCAAGUUUGAAAAAUUAUUAUUACCUCCCUUUGCCUAUCUUGGUUGCGCAACCAAGAUAGAUAGGAAAUAAAUGAAUUCAGAAGCUACACACAUCUUUAAAACUUGCAUUUUGGUUCAGAUUGUUCAAUAGUUGAUAUGUCUAUCAAAUGCAAAUGUAAAACUAGACAUUGUAUCGAAAUAAAAAGAAAUACCCAGCUUUUUAUAUACUUUCAUAUUAAAGGGGAGUAAUUACAAAAUUUUAUAAAAAUAAUAAAAUAUACAUUUCAAAUAGGAAUCUAACUCUAUGUAAUCGGUCUUUUUGUUCCUUAAAUAAUUCUCUACCAGAAUAUACAAAAAGUAAAAAAUGUCAUUAAAUGUUGAUUAAAUGUGAUUGACCACCUUUAAAGGAAACUUAACAUCAUUCACAAAACUCAAUCAGGAUUCAUGUCAUACAGCACUAACUACUGGCAGACUAAUAGAAGCAUGGCUUUCAGAUAUAGAUUCUGGUAAAUAUGUUGGAACUGUUUUAUGUUUUUAGAUAUCUGAAAAGCUUUUGAUCUUGUUGGCUAUAACAUUUUAUUGCAUAAAAUCUAUUGCAUAUCAUUGAAACUAUCAUUUUACGGAUAAAAGUGUUGAAUUUUUCAAAUCAUAUCUAUGAAACUGAACCCAAAUGAUAAAAGCGAGAAACUCCAAAUCUAAAAGUAUGCUUGUAACCUCUGGAGUUCCUCAAGGUUCAAUUCUUGACCCACUUUUAUUCUUGCUAUAUAUCAAUGAUAUCGCUUUAGCUUCAAAGAGUGGCAAUAUAGACCUCUUUGCUGAUGACUGUACUAAAAAAUCAGAUUAUGAUUUAGAUAAAGUGCAAACUAAACUCCAGCAGAAUUUAGAUGUUGUGCAACUGUUACAAUGGUGCAAUUUAAACAAUAUAAUUGUCACUUCAUCCAAAGAUUGUAAGAGGUGACUAAUAGAGUCUUAACACUUGGUUUAGCUGUAACUCUGUGAUUCCAGCAGGUAUGCAAAUUUUGAUUCCAUACCUCGUGUUUUUAUUUCGAUGUAAACGAGAUGUGGAACCAAAAUUUGUAGUCCUGUUUGGCGCCAUAUAACCUAUACUGUGUUGGUGCACCGUAAAACCCAAAUAAAUAAAUAAAUCAUCCAAAGAAAACAAAAUGCAUGGUUUUGUUUACUAACAAAAAAGUAACAAUUGUAAAGAACUAUUUUUAAGUAUUUCCAAGCAAGUAACAAAAAAAUGUCAAGGUGCAGAAAUUAUGUGGUGUUUAUAUAGAUAACACACUGUCGUGUACUGUUCAAAUUGAAACAGUUUGCACUAAACUUGACUCAAAAAUAGCAUUGUUGAGACGUAUAUUGUACUAUAUGACAGAUGAAAUGGAAAACAUUAUUCAUUAAUAAUGCAUAAUUCAAUAUUUGAUUAUUGUUGUACUAUAUGGUGUCAAGAAAAUAAAGAGUUCUUUAAAGAAAAUAAUGAAAACAUAAGGUAGAGCUGCAAAAAAUAAUUUUGAAUGAAACAUUCCAAACAAGAACAAAAGAUAUGCUAAAAGAACUUGGGUGGAUGUCAUGUAAUGAAAGAUGUAACUUUCACACAAGUUGUCUUAUUUACAAAGCUUGCAACAAUUCAGCACCUUCAUAUAUCUUUAUAAUUUUAACCUUUUCUAGCAAUGAAACAUACAAUCUAAGAUCUGUUGCUCAUAGUGACAUAGUUAUACCUUAACAUCAUACAGAUUAUGGUAAAAAAAACACUUCUGUUACAAUAGUGCAAAAUGUUUGGAAUUCAAUACCAAAUGAAAUGUGCUCAUCAUGUUUUCUAACAUGUUUUAAAAAGAAAUAUAAAAAGUGUAUCUUGCAUUUGACUGCCUAAAGAAUCUCUUUGUUUAUAUCAGCUGAAUUAUAACUAUGCCAUUAUAAUAUAAUUAUGCAUGUAUAUAUUAUGUUACUAAUUGAUUGCCUAAAUGGAAAUUGUAUUAAUGGAUACUUAAAGGUAAUACCGUAUAACGGGUUAUUUUUACUGCUGUAAAAGUUUAAGGAUUUGGUGUAAAAACACAUGAUUUUAUUUUAUUCGAUUUUAAAAUUUACCAAAUCACAAGGUCUACCUGUUUAUUUGACUUUAUGUGGCGAAUAUAUAGGAGGCCAAUAUUUACGAAUCUGAUUUGGUCGUAAAAAAUAGUAAAAAUUAGCAGCAGGUAAAAAAUACCCAUUAUACAGUAUCUAUUUUAAAGGGUAUUUGUCUAAGAAUGAAUGUGGUAUUAAUUAGCUUAUGUGAUAGUGUAAAUUUUAUUUGGUGGUUGUUGUUGUUCAGAAGGCCACAUUUAAAAGUAAGAAAGUAUCAUAUGUACUUUUCACUGAUCUGUAUCUUCAUGUGCUACCUUCUAUAGAUAAAGAUGUUAUUAUUAUAACAGAAGACAAUCCACAUUUUGUCUAGGUUUUUUUGGCUGCUUACUUAUGCCUAAAACUGUAAUAUUAUUCUUUCAAGCAUUUUUAGGGUGUUUGUCAUACAGUGUGUUUAGCAUUGUUUCAAGUAUUUAUUUUGUAUGUCAAAUACACAUCAGGUUGCAACAUUUAAGGGUAUUCUUACUAAACAUACUCAAAGUUAGACAUGCCCCUCCCCCACUAAAACUUUCGCACCCCAACCAAACCAAAAUUUUGGAUCUACCCAUGAAAAUUACAAACUUUGAUGCAGCUAGUUUUCACAUACAAUAACCUGUGUGAUGGUUCAGGCAAAUUCUUUCAACUUCAUUACAAAAGCAAUGUUUAAUUUUAGUCAAUUUCUAAAUCUAAAGAAAGGAUUAAUUCUUUGUUCAUAGUGUGUUUUUCAGUACUGAGUAGUUCAAUAAAAUCUAAUGGAAGUUGUUCAUAGUCAAAGAAAAAAAUAUUUGUGAAAUUUUAGAGAGUAAUGUUCUGGAUUACUUAUCAUAGCCAGAAAGCAAGAAUUUAAUUAUUGGUGAAUUUUUUGAACUUUUUCUACAGCUAGAAGGGAAAUGCUUCAGGAUCUAUUUUCUACUUUGCUGAAAUCUGGACAUCUAUUUGUCAGUUGUGUUUUAAGUGUCAUAGAUGAUGGAAAAAAUAGAUCCUGUUUUGCCAAAUAUAGAAUUAAUGCUCAUUAACUAAAAAUAGAAGUAGGCAGAUACAGUAAAACUCCUUUGGAAAACAGGUGAUGUAGGUACUGUGACUCUAGGAAGGUCGAAGAUGAACAACAUUUUACUCUUAAACUGUCUCAAGUAUUCCACUCUCAGGGCGUAUUUCAUCAAAAAAGUUUUUGAAAAGUGUAAAAACUUCGCUACUGUCUGGUAUGAACGAACUAAUAUUUCCUCUAAGUAAUGAUGUGUCCAUUUUAAACCUGUUAACCAGAUUUAUAUAUGACUGUUUUUGUCUUAGAUAUAGCAAUGAAUCCAAUUAAAUUAUCCAUUCUCAUAGUUUUUCUCAUGUCUUUAAUGCAUAUGUUGUAAAGUUGGAUUUUUACAACAUAAUGUUACAUAAUACAUGUACAUAGUUCCAGUAUUGCAUAAUAUAAUCUAACAGUCUAAUAUUUUAUCAUCAAUAUUUGUAUUUUCAAAUAGUAUAAUAUAUUGAGUUUUGAAAGCAUAGACUUUUAGCUAGUCUGUUAAGGCCAUUCAGCUAGUCUAUUAAAGACUGCUGAUUUAUCUAUGUAGAUCAUUCUUCAGUAUAUUCAUUUAUGAUACUUUACUGUUGUUUAUAUAUUUCAUAGUCAUCAGUACUUUCAGUGUAUCUUUAAUGUUAAAAACUGCAUUUAAUAUCAUUACAUACUUUCAUUUUGUAUUUUCAUCAGCUAUUUUUAGGCUGAUCACUACCAAAUAGAAUGUAAGCCUCCGCUGGUCUAGUCACAAGUAGUCCAAAUAUAAAUAGUACUGAUCUUUUUUCUUUCCUAGUGCAUUUUCUCGACAGCAACGUGCUUACUUUUACCCUACCGCGUUUCAGUAUAUAUCACUUUGCAUUCUGUUGAUAUCGGCAUGUUCCUAUUGCAUGCUGGGUAAAAAUGGCGGCGCAAGAAUUUAAUGUCUCGAAAAGAGAAAUUGAAAGAAGCGAAAAGUAGUAAAUUCAGCAGGUUGUAUUUACCGAACUGUAGUUUCCUUAUAUAAAAGUUAACACCCCCUUUUCUUUUUCUUUUUGUAAAGUAGCGAUCUAGUUCUUUAUGGGAAUAUAA